UACGUAGGGUGCACGCGUUAAUCGGAAUUACUGGGCGUAAAGCGUGCGCAGGCGGUCGCGUAAGCCAGAUGUGAAAUCCGCGGGCUUAACCUGGGAACUGCAUUUGGUACUGCGUGGCUGGAGUGCGGCAGAGGAAGGUGGAAGUCCUGGUGUAGCAGUGAAAUGCGUAGAGAUCAGGAGGAACACCGAUGGCGAAGGCAGCCUUUUGGGCCAGCACUGACGCUCAUGCACGAAAGCGUGGGGAGCAAACAGG
rnacentral:rRNA from 1 species